rnacentral:lncRNA from 1 species
CCACCUGUAAAGUGUCUAAUUAUUUAAUGAUGGUGAUGACAAGAUAUCUGAUUUCGUUGGAUUCUUUGUUGUUUACAUCUCUCUGAAUAAGUGUAGCUUCAGGAGGAAAGGGUUCAUUUGUUUAUACUUGCAGGUCACUAUCAACCAUUGUUGGAAGUCUGAUCAGGGCUCAAAAUAGGAAUCUACAGGCUGGAGGCCAGAUCAGGCAAAGCUAUUUUGGACUAGAAUGGAAAUGAACAGUUGUAUGAGCUCAUAGAGGGGAAAAGUCUCCGUGGGGAUCCCAUGAUGAUUGGGAGAAGACAGAUGUGUGGCCAGCUGUUCAGCUACAUUGUGAGUCAUCUCCAAGUGCACAUGGGUAAUCGGCAAGGCUGCUAAUCCAUUCACAAACAAUCAAGACUAGACCAUAUGCCAUGGCUGGACUAUGUGAGAUGGCAGCUCAUAAGGAAAGAAGAAGAAUGGAAAUUCACUAUUGUCAAAACAAAAAAAACAC